GCGCCUGUAGCUCAGUUGGUAGAGCAACGGACUUUUAAUCCGUUGGUCCUGGGUUCGAGUCCCAGCGGGCGCACUA
rnacentral:tRNA from 1 species